CGCCUGCCUGUGUUCCCAAUGAUAACUUGGCAGGAGCAGGGGGAAGCGGCCGGGUUUUUCCUGGGCUCGUUACCGGGGGCAUUACUCAUCCAGAGAGGAAGGUGUCUUUAAAUCCCCAAGACGUUUGGCACAGCAAAUGCAAGAGGAAAUCUCAGCGCACGGCCAAUGCCAGGCAAUGAAGGAUCCUCUGUGGGAGUUGCUGAAUACACCACCCACCCCAGCAGCACCUGAUAUCAGUAGCAGUUCAUGUAUGUGUGUAGCUGCAAAAUCUUUUGAUAUCCAGGUGUCACUGGAAACCAUCAGUGGAUUACAGUACUUUUUUUUUUUACAUAUGUAAAAGACGCAAUCAGCCUAAAAGUAUUCAACAUUUUCUAUGAGGACAUGUUGUGAAGAAUUCCAAGUGUCUUUCGAACAUGGAGGAGUCACUACCCUGUAUCCUACUAAAAUGCAUACUACUUCCAGCAUUUUUCAAGUAGACAAAAUGAAUAUGGAGGGAGGAGGGAAGAAAAUUGUUCAGAGAAAAUUCAAGUUAGAGGGAAAAAAAUUCUUAUUUAUAGUUCAGAGAUCUGUGCUGUUUUAAUUCCUCCUUUAAAUUACAAAUUGCAAGCCUGUUUCAGAUAUCUUGCUCUUCUUGCAAAUACAAAAAUAUGAAAGAAUAAGGUAAAAAAGGAUAUUAAAUAGUGAUUAAUUUGUUCAGAAAGCAUUGAGUGAUAAGCAUCUGCACGGAAUUACAUAGCUCAGAUCUACUUGAAAAUUUUUCUAACUGGAAGAAAACAUUCAAGUUCCUCACCCAUUUUAACAGCUGUCAUAAAUGGAUGUUAAACUUAGCAGCAGCAGUUCAUUGGCAGCUUCCCAAGACUGGCAUCAAUGUAAGAAUUUGUAUUUGAUAUGAAUGAAAAAAAACCCAAAACAUUGUUAAUACUGUAUUUGAAUGAAGGUUUGAAAUAGUUAAAUGCAAAACACCAUAGAUGCCACUCAUGGACAUGAUAACUAUUUCAGGGGAAAGGGAGGAGGGAAAACUUCCUACUGCAUGAUGAAAAAUAUAGGAGUAGAAAUAUUUGAAGAAAUUAAGGCCUGGAACUACAGCUUUCAGCAAAGAAGAUGAUGUCAGUUCUGUGUAUUUUUGCACAAGAAAACCAAAAUGCUGGCUGGGAUUUCUGAGCAUUUCCACAACCCAGGCAGUAAGAGGAAGCUGUUCAAAAUCAAGAGUUCUAGUGUUAACUGCAAUUAAAACAGACCAGAGCCUUUAUCUUAAUCAGUUACUUAGAAUGAAUUGAUACUGAUUUAUCAUCUUUUCUCCCUCCACGUUUAGAGUCAGAGCCACUUACACAUUACUGAUGUGUUUUCAAAAUCCCACACAUGGGCAACAACAUGCAGUUCUUGCAAAUAUUUUGGGGGAAGGGAUUGCCUGUAUGUUGCUAGUGCUGUACUUCAGGGUCAUGAGUCAUUAAGAAAAUAUGGAGAAAUAUUUAUUUUUGUCCUUUGAAUAAGAAGUCUUUUGUGACAGAAUAUAAACGUGGGGAAGUAGUUUCUAAGUUUAUUGUUACUACUCUAUUUAUUAAGAAUGACAAAUUUUAAAACAGUUUAAAUACUUGGAUGGAAACAUGUCAUUAUCUCCAGUAUUUUCUGUAAAUGUUCAGUCAACAUCCUAAUUGUAUUCCUAUCCAAUAUAAUGAGAUGAGCUUUAGCUCUCUCCAUACAUGACAUAGCAGUAAGAAAAAAGAAAAGAUCUAAAUGCUAUUUAUUCAGCAACUGAAUCUUAGCCGAAGCAAACUACCAUUUACUAUGGUUAGUGAUAACUUUACACAUAUAGUAAGCGCAUAAGGCACUUGUAACAUUUGAAAGCCUGAGAUUUGUAUUAUCCUGUAGAAUCUUUUAAUUUAAUUUAGGUAUAUACUGACAGAAUUAAACACAGGCAUUUACAGGAAAAAUAAAAAUUGUUAGGGCUGAGAUAAGCAAAUAAAAGAAAAUAAAUACAACAGUAAAGUUGCUAAUGCUCUGUUCUCAACAAAAUUCUUAUAGUUAUGUGCUCUCCUUUCCCUUCUAGCAAUAUGUAAUUCUCUGCAGGGAUGUCAAGGGGACCAUUCUCUCCAUUUUCCUAAAGUUAGCAAGCCAACAUCUGCUAAAUGCAAUACAACAUGCUGUUUACCUUUGUUGUAAACUUGAAGCUUUUCCAUUUAAAAACUGUAUAAAUUAAUCAGUAUUCAUUCACACCUAUGCCUAGAAAUAUCCAUUACAGAGCAGACAAUUCUCAUUUUUAAUCUCCUCCUUAUUCUGAUUUUUAUGCCAUAUUCCUCUGCACUGAUGCUGUUUGGAAUCACUCUGGAUAUAUUAACAAAUACAAGGAAAGUAAAACAAAAGACAAUGGGGAUUUUCCCCUCAUUUUCUGCAAGUAUUUAUUGACAGAGAAAGAUGAUAAAAAUCCAGAGUAAAAGGUCUUGCCUGACAUCUCCUUUAAACUCGGUAGUUUAACAAACUGCUACAAAACAGAAGUUUUGUCCCCUGCUCCAAAAACCAAGAUGACAAAAUCCCAAACUAUAUGUUUAGAUUUGCCUUCUAAAAUCCUGUGGAAUAUUUAAUAACUUGUAUUUGAUGGCAGAAUUUCCAAUGUAAA